UACGUAGGGCGCAAGCGUUGUCCGGAAUUAUUGGGCGUAAAGGGCUCGUAGGCGGUCUGUCACGUCGGGAGUGAAAACUCAGGGCUUAACCCUGAGCCUGCUUCCGAUACGGGCUGACUAGAGGUAUGCAGGGGAGAACGGAAUUCCUGGUGUAGCGGUGAAAUGCGCAGAUAUCAGGAGGAACACCGGUGGCGAAGGCGGUUCUCUGGGCCUGUACUGACGCUGAGGAACGAAAGCGUGGGGAGCGAACAGG
rnacentral:rRNA from 1 species